rnacentral:rRNA from 1 species
UACGGGGGGGGCAAGCGUUGUUCGGAAUUACUGGGCGUAAAGGGCUCGUAGGCGGCCAACUCAGUCGGGCGUGAAAUCCCACGGCUCAACCGUGGAAGUGCACUCGAAACUGCAUAGCUAGAGUCCUGGAGAGGAAGGUGGAAUGCUUGGUGUAGAGGUGAAAUUCGUAGAUAUCAAGCGGAACACCGGUGGCGAAGGCGGCCUUCUGGACAGUGACUGACGCUGAGACGCGAAAGCGUGGGGAGCAAACAGG